rnacentral:rRNA from 1 species
GACGAACGCUGGCGGCGUGCCUAACACAUGCAAGUCGAGCGAGAAUCUUUGAUCAGAUCCCUUCGGGGUGACGAUUUAAAGAGGAAAGCGGCGGACGGGUGAGUAACGCGUGAGUAACCUGCCCUUAACUGUGGGAUAACACAUCGAAAGGUGUGCUAAUACCGCAUAAUCCGGUUUUACCGCAUGAUAGAACCGGCAAAGAUUUAUUGGUUAAGGAUGGACUCGCGUCUGAUUAGAUAGUUGGCGGGGUAACGGCCCACCAAGUCGACGAUCAGUAGCCGAACUGAGAGGUUGAUCGGCCACAUUGGGACUGAGACACGGCCCAGACUCCUACGGGAGGCAGCAGUGGGGAAUAUUGCGCAAUGGGGGAAACCCUGACGCAGCAACGCCGCGUGAAGGAAGAAGGCCUUCGGGUUGUAAACUUUUGUCCUAUGGGAAGAUAGUGACGGUACCAUAGGAGGAAGCCACGGCUAACUACGUG